rnacentral:tRNA from 1 species
GCCUGGGUGGCUCUGUCGGUUGAGCGUCCGACUUUGGUUCAGGUCACGAUCUCCUAGUCCGUGGGUUCGAGCCCUGCAUCAGGCU